GGCGAUGAUGAUGACAAAUUGGGCGAUGAUGAUGACAAAUUGGGCUUUGUGGGGUUAAAUCAAGAAAAUGCUAGAAAUGAGAUUUAGUCUUCAACAUCAUGUACGCUAUUCAUUCUCAUCUCCACUCUUGCUUUCUUCUUCCUUUGCUACAGCUGCCACUUCUAAUCUCCUUUUCUUCUUCCUUUUUUUGGUUUUUUAUUUUUCUAUUUUCUUAUUGAUUUUUUAUUCUUUCUUCAUCGAUCUUCUUCGCCUUUGAUGAUGAUGAACAUGAACACAACAGAGGUGGUGAAGCAAUGGCGAGCGGCGACGAUGAUUUGAUGAAGAGAAGGGUUGAACAGAGAGGAAAUGGUUUGGCUUAUGAUGAUUUGAUGAAUUGAUGAAGAGAAGGGAGAGAGUGGA
rnacentral:lncRNA from 1 species